rnacentral:rRNA from 1 species
CCUACGGGAUGCUGCAGUGAGGAAUAUUGGUCAAUGGCCGCGAGCCUGAACCAGCCAAGUAGCGUGAAGGAUGACUGCCCUACGGGUUGUAAACUUCUUUUAUAAAGGAAUAAAGUGAGGCACGUGUGCCUGUUUGCAUGUACUUUAUGAAUAAGGAUCGGCUAACUCCGUGCCAGCAGCCGCGGUAAUACGGAGGAUCCGAGCGUUAUCCGGAUUUAUUGGGUUUAAAGGGAGCGUAGAUGGGUUGUUAAGUCAGUUGUGAAAGUUUGGGGCUCAACCGUAAAAUUGCAUUUGAUACUGGCAGUCUUGAGUACGGGUGAGGUAGGCGGAAUGCGUGGUGUAGCGGUGAAAUGCUUAGAUAUCACGAAGAACUCCGAUUGCGAAGGCAGCUUACCAAACUGCCACUGACGUUGAAGCUCGAAAGUGUGGGUAUCGAACAGGAUUAGAUACCCUUGUAGUC